rnacentral:rRNA from 1 species
GUUGUCCAGAAAAUGAAUAUUAGUUCAGCUUUAAAAAUACCAAAAAUAUGAACAAAUUAUAAUGUAUUUUUAAAAGUUAGUCUAAAAAGGUACAGCCUUUUAGAAAUGGAUACAACCUUAACUAGAGAGUAAACCCUAACAUUAAACCAUAGUGGGCCUAAAAGCAGCCACCAAUUAAGAAAGCGUUAAAGCUCAACAAUAAAAUAAUACUAAUUCCAAUAAUAAACAGUCAACUCCUAGUCUAAUACUGGACUAAUCUAUUAAAAAUAGAAGCAAUAAUGUUAACAUGAGUAACAAGAAAUAACUUCUCCCCGCAUAAGUUUAAGUCAGUAUCUGAUAAUACUCUGACUAUUAACAGCAAAAUAAGAAUAACCUAACUAUAAAUAACUUAUUAACUAUACUGUUAAUCCGACACAGGAAUGCACUUAGGGAAAGAUUAAAAGAAGUAAAAGGAACUCGGCAAACACUAAACCCCGCCUGUUUACCAAAAACAUCACCUCCAGCAUAACUAGUAUUGGAGGCACUGCCUGCCCAGUGACGACCGUUAAACGGCCGCGGUAUCCUG